GACGUAGGGCGCAAGCGUUGUCCGGAUUUAUUGGGCGUAAAGAGCUCGUAGGCGGCUUGUUGCGUCGUCCGUGAAAACCUGUGGCUCAACUACAGGCUUGCGGUCGAUACGGGCGGGCUGGAGUUCGGUAGGGGAGACUGGAAUUCCUGGUGUAGCGGUGAAAUGCGCAGAUAUCAGGAGGAACACCGGUGGCGAAGGCGGGUCUCUGGGCCGAUACUGACGCUGAGGAGCGAAAGCGUGGGGAGCGAACGGG
rnacentral:rRNA from 1 species